GCUGGAUAGGUAAUAACAGUGAAUACCCGUGCAAAACUAUCAUUGAACUCAUUUACUAUAUCAAUGUCGUUUACUAUUAUAAGACCCUUACUAUCCUGCAAAUUAGUAAUUUCAGGUUUUAGAGCUCUUUUAGAGUUAAAAUACUGGAAGAAACUUUUAACGUCAUCCUUAGCUUCCAAUGCAACCAUCCUUUCGACAUUUCUUUUACCUCGUCUAAUAUCAUUUUUUUAACUCGACCUGUAGACUUAGAUAUUCCUGCUUAAUUCUGUCAUCAUCAGUUAUUUUCCAUUGCUGGAACAAAGCCCUUUUCCUCCUUACUUUAUACUUUAUUUCCCUAGUAAACCACCUAGGUUGCAAUUUCCUAGCAGCACAGAGGCUAAAACGGGAUCUUGAUUUAAUUAGCGACUGGGCUGAUACCUGGCAUUUAAUAUAGAUAAAUGUAAGGUAAUCCAUGCAGGGAGCAGAAAUAUAAAUUGUGCGUUCGUUUUUCUCUCGUAACUCAUAAAUUCCAAGUUGAGUGACAUCACGUCGGACAAUCUCCCAUUCGAGCUACCACAACUCAAAACAAACAUGGCUGUCUCCGUGAACAUGCUGCUGUUGCUGUUGUCUGAGCACAAAAAACUCAAGGAAAGAGUACUUGCCGUCAAAAACUAUACUGAAGAGGAAGAACAGUGAAAAAGGAUUGCAGUAGCCUGUGCUGUCCCCCAUUAGCUCAUCGGGUGAUGGUUGUGAAGACGGGCAUAGAAUGGGAGCGAAUGAUGAGCAUGGACGACAACAUUUUUUCGCCAUCUGAGAGUGACCAAAAGUCAGUGCGACUAUCUUCUACUGAAGCUACAGGAACAGGGACUAACGGAGGAACUGACCAGAGGGCUUCCAUCUUCUCCUGUAAGACAGAAGAUCUUGAUGUUCUUGUGGUACAUGGCAAACCAGAACAGUUUCAGAGAGAUUUCUGACAAGUUUAACAUUUCACAGUCAGCGGCACACGAAGCUGUGAGUGAAGUCCUUCAGCUAUUCACUACUCUUGGACCCCUCUUUAUCUCCAGGCCAACUUCAUAUGAGAAGAAAGCAUCAUCGGCCACUUUCCACCGUGUGCUUCCCCGAUCGUACCCAGCUGUACCUUGUUGUUUUGCUCUGUCUUGUCUAUUUCAGUCCCUGUUUUGCCUUAGUUCAUUGUCUGUCAUUGAUGUUAGUCAGUGUUAGAUGUUUCUUGCUCCCCGUUGUUCCAAUAAAUCCCCAUGUUCCCCGAUUCUGCC